rnacentral:rRNA from 1 species
CGAAAAACCUUACCCACCUUUGACAUGGCAGGAACUUACCAGAGAUGGCUUGGUGCUCGAAAGAGAACCUGCACACAGGUGCUGCAUGGCUGUCGUCAGCUCGUGUCGUGAGAUGUUGGGUUAAGUCCCGCAACGAGCGCAACCCUUGCCAUUAGUUGCUACGAAAGGGCACUCUAAUGGGACUGCCGGUGACAAACCGGAGGAAGGUGGGGAUGACGUCAAGUCCUCAUGGCCCUUAUAGGUGGGGCUACACACGUCAUACAAUGGCUGGUACAAAGGGUCGCCAACCCGCGAGGGGGAGCCAAUCCCAUAAAGCCAGUCGUAGUCCGGAUCGCAGUCUGCAACUCGACUGCGUGAAGUCGGAAUCGCUAGUAAUCGUGGAUCAGAAUGUCACGGUGAAUACGUUCCCGGGUCUUGUACACACCGCCCGUCACACCAUGGGAGCGGGUCUCGCCAGAAGUAGGUAGCCUAACCGCAAGGAGGGCGCUUACCACGGCGGGGUUCGUGACUGGGGUGAAGUCGUAACAAGGUAGGCGUAGUGCU